AGUUGAAGAGGAAGUUGAAGGAAAGCUCCCAGCCCUGACCUGUGCCCCUGAACAUCAUUCUUCUUUCACAAGAACAGGAGUUGAGAUUAUGGAAGUGAAAGUAUAAAUUAUUUGCAGACGCACAGCAUAUAUCCACAUACGCUGUACAGGGAGACAAAGGUGGAAUGCAUGCCACUGAAAGAGAGAACCUGGUGAUAUCUUCUUGGCUGCAGAAGAUGCUGGUUCAGCAAGGUUUUAAGCAACUAUAUAACCUUAAGCAGAUGAGUAAUCCCAUUGCUUGGCUGGAUCAUGCCUUAAGG